rnacentral:rRNA from 1 species
AAAUUAAUAAUUAAUAAAUUUAUAAAUAAUAAAAAUAAUUUUAAUAUUAAAAUGGGGGUUUUAGUAUUAAUAAAAAAAAAAUUAUAAGUUUUAUAGUAUAAUAGUAUUGUAUAAGAAAUUUUAAAUAAAUUUGAAAAUAAAUUUAUUUAAAAGUAAAUUUUAUUUAUUGUAUCUGUGUAUCGAGUUUAUUAAUUAAAAUUUUAGUUAAAAUAAUUCUCGAAUUAAAAAGAGAUAAUUAAUUAUAAAAGUUAUUGUUGCAUAAAUAUUUUAAAUAAUUAAUUUGAAAUGAGAUGUUAAUCGUUUUUUAAGAUAUCUAGUUUUUUUAGAAAAAAAUUUAAUUUUAUUUUUCUUUUAUAAUAAAUUAAUUAAUUAAUUUAUUAUAAAGAAAAAAUUAUAUUUUAAGGGAUAAGCUUCAAAUUAAAUAUUUAUAAUAACAUUGUUUUUAAUUAAAAUUUUUAAAAUUUAUAUUGUUUAUAAUUUUUAAUUUAUUAUAAAUUAAUUUUAAUUUAAUUAAAAUUUAAAAAAAAAAUUUAAUUUUUUAUAAAAAAAUAUUUUUUAAUAAAUAAAGAUUAAAUAUAAUGAUAAAAUUAGUAUUUAAUAAAUAAAUAAUAUUAAUUUAUUGAAAAAUAAAGUUAAGUAAUUCGGCAAAAUUUUAUAUUCCAAGGUAGCAUAAUCAUUAGUCUCUUAAUUGGUGACUUGUAUGAAAGAUUGGAUGAAAUAUAAACUGUCUCAAUUUUAUUAGAAAAAUUUAAUUUUUUAAUUAAAAAGUUAAAAUAAAUUUAAAAGACGAGAAGACCCUAUAGAGUUUAAUAAACGUUUUUAUUGAAAUUAUUUAUAUAUUUAAUAAUUAAAAUAAUAAUAUUUAUUUUGUUGGGGUGAUAAAAAAAUAUAUUUAACUUUUUUUUUUAAAAAUUCAUUAAUAAGUGAAUAUUUGAUCCAAAAUUAUUUUGAUUAGAAGAAAAAAUUACCUUAGGGAUAACAGCGUAAUUUUUUUUUUUAGUUCAAAUAAAAAAAAAAGUUUGCGACCUCGAUGUUGGAUUAAGAUAAAAUUUAUAAUGCAAAAGUUUAAAAUUUUGAUCUGUUCGAUCAUUAAAAUCUUACAUGAUCUGAGUUCAAACCGGUGUGAGCCAGGUUGGUUUCUAUCUUUAAGCAAAAAAGAUAUUUUAGUACGAAAGGAAUAAAUAUUUAAAUUAAAUUUAAUUGAAGAAUUUUAUUAAUAAAUAUAUAAAUUAAAAAUUAAUAUGUUUUAUUAA